rnacentral:rRNA from 1 species
AGCGAACGCUGGCGGCAGGCCUAACACAUGCAAGUCGAACGGACCCUUCGGGGUUAGUGGCGGACGGGUGAGUAACACGUGGGAACGUGCCCUUUGGUUCGGAAUAGCUCCUGGAAACGGGUGGUAAUGCCGAAUGUGCCCUUCGGGGGAAAGAUUUAUCGCCAUUGGAGCGGCACGCGUCUGAUUAGCUAGUUGGUAGUGUUACGGACUACCAAGGCGACGAUCAGUAGCUGGUCUGAGAGGAUGAUCAGCCACAUUGGGACGGAGACACGGCCCAAACUCCUACGGGAGUGAGCUGUGGGGAAUCUUGAGCAAUGGGCGAAAGCCUGACGCAGCCAUGACGCGUGAACGACGAAGGCCCUCGGGUUGUAAAGUCCAAAGGGGGGGAGCAAGCGCAAGCCGAGCGACCCCCAGUAAGCACGGGCUAAGUUCGUGCCAGCCGCCGCCGUAA